rnacentral:rRNA from 1 species
AUACGUAGGGGGCGAGCGUUGUCCGGAAUGAUUGGGCGUAAAGGGCGCGUAGGCGGCCUGUUAAGUCUGGAGUGAAAGUCCUGUUUUCAAGAUGGGAAUUGCUUUGGAUACUGAUGGGCUUGAGUGCAGGAGAGGUUAUCGGAAUUCCCGGUGUAGCGGUGAAAUGCGUAGAGAUCGGGAGGAACACCAGUGGCGAAGGCGGGUAACUGGACUGCAACUGACGCUGAGGCGCGAAAGUGUGGGGAGCAGACAGGAUUAGAUACCCUGGUAGUCCACACUGUAAACGAUGAAUGCUAGGUGUAAGAGGUAUCGACCCCUUUUGUGCCGGAGUUAACACAAUAAGCAUUCCGCCUGGGGAGUACGGCCGCAAGGUUGAAACUCAAAUGAAUUGACGGGG